rnacentral:rRNA from 1 species
GAUGAACGCUGGCGGCGUGCCUAAUACAUGCAAGUCGAGCGAACGGACGAGAAGAUUGCUUCUCUGAUGUUAGCGGCGGACGGGUGAGUAACACGUGGAUAACCUACCUAUAAGACUGGGAUAACUUCGGGAAACCGGAGCUAAUACCGGAUAAUAUUUUGAAACGCAUGGUUCAAAAGUGAAAGACGGUCUUGCUGUCACUUAUAGAUGGAUCCGCGCUGCAUUAGCUAGUUGGUAAGGUAACGGCUUACCAAGGCAACGAUGCAUAGCCGACCUGAGAGGGUGAUCGGCCACACUGGAACUGAGACACGGUCCAGACUCCUACGGGAGGCAGCAGUAGGGAAUCUUCCGCAAUGGGCGAAAGCCUGACGGAGCAACGCCGCGUGAGUGAUGAAGGUCUUCGGAUCGUAAAACUCUGUUAUUAGGGAAGAACAUAUGUGUAAGUAACUGUGCACAUCUUGACGGUACCUAAUCAGAAAGCCACGGCUAACUACGUG